CAUCUUAGUGACAGUCCAGAACAACUUUCCAUUGUAAAAAUAUAACAUAAAAUUAUGAUAAUGACUAAGGUGGGUCCGAAUUUUACCCCAAAUAACUGAGAUCAAUGAAUGAGAGUUCUUCCAUGGUGACAUUCACAAAAGUAGAGCCCAUAAGAGGGAGCACUUUCUGCCCCUUCCGAGGCUGGUGGCAGCUGAUGAAAUGGCCUUUCAAUAACUUAUUGACUGCACCAUCACAAGCAUGUCAAGAUCAGGGAAA
rnacentral:lncRNA from 1 species